rnacentral:rRNA from 1 species
UACGGAGGAUCCAAGCGUUAUCCGGAAUCAUUGGGUUUAAAGGGUCCGUAGGCGGUUUUGUAAGUCAGUGGUGAAAGCCCAUCGCUCAACGGUGGAACGGCCAUUGAUACUGCAAGACUUGAAUUAUUGGGAAGUAACUAGAAUAUGUAGUGUAGCGGUGAAAUGCUUAGAGAUUACAUGGAAUACCAAUUGCGAAGGCAGGUUACUAUCAAUAUAUUGACGCUGAUGGACGAAAGCGUGGGUAGCAAACAGG